AGACAAAUAAGUAAAUACAUUUUCCUUUUUGAAUUUUUAAAUAUUAUUUUAAAGACAAACUACCAAAAGUAUUUUUGAAUUCACUAAAGACUAAGUAUUCCUAUAUUAUAAAACAAAUGCAAAAGCAACAUUUGAAAAACAAAAUAACCAACUCACCCUUGUGUUUUUAAACACUUUACAAAACACAUCUUAUCGACCGAAUCCAAAAACACCAAGUCAUAGUAAUUAAUUUUAUUUUUAUAAUAUAUAAUGUUUAUAGUUGAACUAGGGUCAGUUAUCCACAAUUAAUAAUGAUUUCAGCAUAAAUGCAGCUAGCUAGGGUCAGUAGAAUAAAAAUGCAGGAAGAUCACUAUGCAAGCAAAAAGGUGGGUUUAGUCACCAUAAAUCUUUGCUAUUAAUUACUCCAUAGAAAAUUUUUGGGUGCUCUUAGAGCAUUGUUUCUUUUUCAUUCUCUCAUUGUCAUGCGUAUACUUUCAGCCAAUCAUACUAAUAAGCAUACACAUGUGUAAACAAUGAAUACAUAAAUACCAAUACUCAAGGGACACUGAAGUUCUUCUCUCAUUCUAUACUUAGGAUUUGAAAUCUUAGAUCGUAAGAAUUAUCAACAUAAGAGUGUUAUUUGAUUAUAGAAGGAUUGAGUCUCCAUGUAUAGGUGCAUCAAAUAUCGUAAAACUAGAUUCCUACAAAAAAUUAAUUAAAAUUUCAAGAUACAAUUAGAGGAUAUGGAGAAAACGAGUCAGCUAUCAGCAUGAGAAUCCUACAAUUUAUUAAAAAGAAACGAGUUUAUUGUGUUUUAAUGUUUUAUAAUUUACAACAUUAUAAAAGUCCAUUUAUAAAAUUAUAAACUCAUCUUGCAUUUUAAUAAAGUACAAGAUUCUCUUAUUGAAAAUUUUUCGUGGAGAAAAUUAUGGGUUUUGUUAGAUAUAAAAUCAGUCCCUUGUGCCCUUGUAGCAGUAACAGGCCUACGGCCGGGCUGUAGCCCGAUCUAGACCAGGAAAAUAUCAUUUAUACCCUUUAUGUUUUCAUUAAUUUUUUAGAAUAAUAGAGUUUUUAUCUUGUUUUUAAAUAUAUCUCAAAUUUAAUUAUAUUUUUCUUUGAAUAAAUUGAAAUCUUUAGGGGGCUAAAAUUUUAUUGUUGUUUAGCUUUUUAAAAAUAUUGUAAUUGAAAAAAAUGUCAGUAUAUUAUAAUUAACAUCACCAGUAGAACUAAAAGUACUUACAAUUUAAUAAAAUGACAUAUGGUAACAAUUGACAAUAAUUUCAUAAUUUCAUAAUUUCAUAGUUUAUUUCAUUCACAACCAUACUUUCUUUUCAUUAUAUCAAAUUAUUCAAAAACUUGACAUUCUUUAUCGAUAAAUUAAAAAUGAUUUUUUAUGGUACAAUUGUUACAAUUUAUAAUAUAAGCUUAUUUUUUACAUCGUUGUCAAUCUUCCAUUAAAUAUAUGUAAUUUGCCAAGAAUUUUGAUAUUGUAUUUGUUGAUAUAUGUGAUUUUUUUCUUUUUUUCAUAUGCACCGACAUUCACACAAAUAAUGACAAUCAAUUUAUAAGUUACCUUGGACCAAUCAGAAGUUUUGGACUAGUUGCGAGUGUACAGCUAGGUAUGUAUGAUCACCUAUCAAAGAAAACGUUCGUUUUGAGAUAGUAGCAUGAAUUAUUUGUUCAAUUUUAAUUUGUGACGAAUUCACAAUCUCUUGAAUUCAUCAGCGAUUGGCUUUAAUUAACUGAUAAUGAGAAAAAAAAUUAUUAAUUCAACACAAAAUCCAGCUGCCAAGUUACAGAAAUAAAAUAAUAAUAAUAAUAAUAAUAAUAAUAAUAAUAAUAUUAUUAUUAUUAUUAUUAUUAUCAUCAUCAUCAUCAUCAUCAUCAUCAUCAUCAUCAUCAUCAUCAUCAUCAUCAUCAUCAUCAUCAUCUAGAGAAACAAAAGUCCAAAAAGCAACGAACUAACCAAAUGGAUUGGAGAGCGAUGAGACGGCACCAUCGAACACAAAACACUUUGGCCAAAUUUGUACAUCGUCAUCAACACAUCGUCUCUCGUUUUAUUUCACAAUUAUAGCUCCUUCAAAAAGACAUUUGAUUCUGAAGGGAUGAGAUUUAAAAUCAAAUAUUUUAUAGGGGUCUAUUUUAAUUUAGACGAAAUUUAUAAGAGACGCAACAUAAGCUGUCACGUCUUUUGGAAAUUGUUUUGAGAUUAAGAUUUAGGAUGGGUAGCAUUAUUGGUGUAAUAACUGAUUAUUUUGCCUUUUCCCUUUUCCCUUUUCCCUUUUCCACCAUAUCGUGUUGUCGUAAAAUUUAUCUUUUUGUUUAAAUACAAGAUCUUAAUUAAAAAUGUUAUUUUCUUUGGAAAUCUAAUGAAACUAUAAUAAAAUCAUUAUACGAUAUAGAUGUAUUAUUAUUGUUAUUUAAAUCAAAUCUUCUCCAUGAUUAAUUAUGUGAAGAAGAUUAUAUCUACAAAAUCAUUAAAUGAUUCGUGCUAGGAAAAUUAUUUCAUAUUGGAUGAAAAAUAUCCAUUGGACUAAUAAUAAAAGUUUGAGAAAACAUUAACUCAUAACUUAACUUUAAAAAUAAACAAAUGUAACUUAACUUUAAAAAUAAACAAAUGUUGGAAUCAAUUUUGCAGAUAUGUAUGAAAAAAUCACGAUAUUUUACUUUUCAUUACUUUAGUUUUAAUUACCUUCAAAGAGAAACGUACCGUGAAUAAAAAUUCUAUAUUCAUUUAAGGUAUUAAAAGAUAUAAAAAAACCAGUGAAUCUAUAAAAGAAUGAGAAUACUAAAACUAGCUCUCGAAUUAUAAAAAGAUAUAAACUAAGGGAUCUAUCAAAGAAUAAGAAUACUCACACUAGCUCUAAUUAAAUCAAGUUGUUAAACCAUAUACUAUAGACAAUAAAAUAUUGACACUGUAAAAAUUGUAAAACAAGCAAAAUGCAUAUCCAUUAUACUAAUUUUAAGGGUCAUACAAGCAGUACAAGAAGUAAAUUAUACAUGCAUGAACACACAUGCAUAGCCCGCCCGCCCUAGUAGUAGCACUAAGUCCAUGCUAUUGGGAAAGGGACUCACACAAGCAGUUACAAAUUAAACGGAAACAAAACUAUUUCCCUUUUUGUGUGAUUAAAAUAGGAUGUCUACCACAAAUAAAUAUACAAAAAAAUAAACCAACAAAACCCAAAGCAAAAACCAUCCACAAAAGAUAUAGAUUUUACUUGGAAAAUCCAAAGCUGGAAAAUCCACGGGGCCGUAGUCCGAUAAAAUUUUUCACUAUAUUAAUGUGAUUACAACACAAAUUCUUUUCUAGAUAAUAGUAACAGCCUAAUAUUUGUCUCUCUAACAAGUGCGUAUCUCAAAUAAUAGCCAACGAGAAGAUAAAAUAAAAAUGAAAACUAAUAAGAUUGUAGAGGACGAUGCCAGAAAUUUACUCUCAAAAUUUGAGAGAAAACGGAGUUAAUUUCACCUUUCGAUCAUCCAAUCAAAAAUUAAAAAUUCUUGCUCUCAAAAUAAACUCAACUCCACUUGAGACUGGACAAAAACGGAUUCGAAUCAGGUUGGGAUCAACCCGAUCAAAUUUUGAAUUGAUCGAGUUGGGUCGGGUAUUUUGCCCACCUCUAACUCCACUGUCUUUCUCUUUUCUCUUGUCUUCUUUUGCGAUUGUGUCUAGGGCUCGCCGCUUGCUUUUCUCUUUAUGUAUAGUCAAAUUUCAUGACAAAUUUCAUAUGUCCCCUUCAAGUUUCUUUUAAUUACCUAAUUAUUCAAACUUAAUGAAAUUUAAGCUUGAGCCACCCAAUGAAAUGAGAUGGACCCACACUUGCAUACUUAAAAGUGUCUUAUAAUGGGAUUGCAACACUAAAAGCUCUUAUUUACUUUCAUCGUACAACAUAAUUUAAUUAUCAAGCAUGGACUAGCUAGCUAGUCAUUCAGUUGGAAGUAGGAGGCUUGUGUAGUGGUUUCUUUGGAGGAUAUUUCUUCGUGGGUGCCUUGUGGUAUGAGUCGUCCACAUCCUCCAUCGGAGGGUGAUCGGGAAGUGUCCAUGAGGUGGCUUCUCUCCCUUACCCUUUGGUGGGUAGUGCUUUGGCGGGGGCUUAUAAGACUUAUAUUUUGAUGGCUUACCAUGGUAGGGUUCAUGGUAGGUUUCUUACAGAGCUUCCUCCUCUGCUGACAGUGGCUUGUGGUCAUCGGCAAUGGUGGGAGUGGCGAGAAUCACCACUCCAAGGAGCAAAGCCAGCAGCAAGAAGUAUGUUUUACACGUCUUAGGGAUUAAUUAAGAUUUGGUCGAUGGGGGUGAAAAAUUAAGAGAACUGCAUGGCCUUUUAUAUUGGCCUAAAGCCUAUAAUCCUUCAACAUAGGUCCUUUCAGCUGUUUAAUUUUCUUUGUCAAUAUGCUUUCUGUAUUCUGUGUAGAAAGCUCUUUGUAGUAGAUAUUUAUCCUCAUAUGUAACCCACCGAUAGUAGCAAAUUUUCUAUAUUAGGUAAAUUAGAGAUUACGAUUGAUAGGUAAUCGCAUCCUUAAUUUCAUUUCUUUGGCAUGCCUUCUUUAUCGACUAAGGGUAUUAAAACCAGUCCUACUAUUCUAAAGGUAUUAAUGAACUAGUCCCACCAUUCUAAAGGUAUUAAUGAACCAGUCAUACUAUUCUAAAGGUAUUAAUGAAUCAGUUCCACCAUUCUAAAGGUAUUAAUGAAGACAGACCUG
rnacentral:lncRNA from 1 species